UCUACGAAGCAGAACCGGGUUUGAAUACUGGUAUGGGCAUUUAUUUGUGUGUUUGUCACAAAUAUUUGUUCCUGAGUUAUGGAUGUUUUCUAUGUAUUUAAGUAUUUAUAAAUAUUUAUAUAUUACAUAUAGGUAUCGUUUACCCACAACACAAGUCUUAUUGAGCUUACUGUGGGACUUAGUCAAUUUGUGUAAUAAUGUC